GGCUGCAACUCGCCUGCAUGAAGUUGGAAUUGCUAGUAAUCGCGAAUCAGAAUGUCGCGGUGAAUACGUUCCCGGGCCUUGUACACACCGCCCGUCACACCAUGAGAGUCGAUAACACCCGAAGCCUGUGAGCUAACCGUAAGGAGGCAGCAGUCGAAGGUGGGGUUGAUGAUUGGGGUGAAGUCGUAACAAGGUAAC
rnacentral:rRNA from 1 species